AUGAACGCUGGCGGCGUGCUUAACACAUGCAAGUCGAACGAUGAAGCCCAGCUUGCUGGGUGGAUUAGUGGCGAACGGGUGAGCAACACGUGAGUAACCUGCCCUUAACUCUGGGAUAAGCCUGGGAAACUGGGUCUAAUACCGGAUAGGAGCGUCCACCGCAUGGUGGGUGUUGGAAAGAUUUAUCGGUUUUGGAUGGACUCGCGGCCUAUCAGCUUGUUGGUGAGGUAAUGGCUCACCAAGGCGACGACGGGUAGCCGGCCUGAGAGGGUGACCGGCCACACUGGGACUGAGACACGGCCCAGACUCCUACGGGAGGCAGCAGUGGGGAAUAUUGCACAAUGGGCGCAAGCCUGAUGCAGCGACGCCGCGUGAGGGAUGACGGCCUUCGGGUUGUAAACCUCUUUCAGUAGGGAAGAAGCGAAAGUGACGGUACCUGCAGAAGAAGCACCGGCUAACUACGUG
rnacentral:rRNA from 1 species